GUUGAUGGUGAAAUCCCAAGAGCUCAACCUUGGAACUGCCAUCAAAACUUUUUAGCUAGAGUGUGAUAGAGGAAAGYGGAAUUUCUAGUGUAGAGGUGAAAUUCGUAGAUAUUAGAAAGAACAYCAAAWGCGAAGGCAACUUUCUGGAUCAUUACUGACACUGAGGAACGAAAGCAUGGGUAGCGAAGAGGAUAUAUGAUACCCUCUGUAGUCCAUGCCGUAAACGAUGUGUGUCUAGACGUUGGAAACUUAGUUUUUCAGUGUCGCAGCGAAAGCA
rnacentral:rRNA from 1 species